rnacentral:rRNA from 1 species
AUCCCGUCUUUGGCACGGAAACCCCAGGGCUUUUGUGAUGCGCUCUCGAAGAGUCGAGUUGUUUGGGAAUGCAGCUCAAAAUGGGUGGUGAACUCCAUCUAAAGCUAAAUAUUGGCGAGAGACCGAUAGCGAACAAGUACCGUGAGGGAAAGAUGAAAAGCACUUUGGAAAGAGAGUGAAACAGUACGUGAAAUUGUUGAAAGGGAAACGCUUGAAGUCAGUCGCGUCGACCGAGACUCAGCCUUGCCCUUGGCUUGGUGUACUUCUCGGCUGACGGGUCAGCAUCAAUUUUGCCCCUUGGAUAAUGGCGAGGGAAAUGUGACACCUUUACGGUGUGUUAUAGUCUCUUGUCGCAUGCAAGGGUUGGGAUUGAGGAACUCAGCACGCACCUUUGGGUGUCGGGGCUUUGCCCACGAUACGUGCUUAGGAUGUUGGCGUAAUGGCUUUAAACGACCCGUCUUGAAACACGGACCAAGGAGUCUAACAUGCCUGCGAGUGUUCGGGUGGAAAACUCGUGCGCGCAAUGAAAGUGAAAGUUGGGACCUCUGUCGUGGAGGGCACCGACGCCCGGACCAGACCUUCUGUGACGGCUCUGCGGUAAAGCAUGUAUGUUAGGACCCGAAAGAUGGUGAACUAUGCCUGAAUAGGGUGAAGCCAGAGGAAACUCUGGUGGAGGCUCGUAGCGAUUCUGACGUGCAAAUCGAUCGUCAAAUUUGGGUAUAGGGGCGAAAGACUAAUCGAACCAUCUAGUAGCUGGUUCCUGCC